rnacentral:rRNA from 1 species
GAACCCUUUAACCGUACUGAGAACUUCUAUAACACUAUAGAACCUUUCAUGCUAAAACUAGUAACAAGAGAUAACUCCUCUCCUAAUGCAAACAUAAGCCAGUAAGAACCCGUCACUGGCAACUAACAACCUUAAAAGUAGCAACCUCACUAGAAAACCCUACUUUUCCCCCACCGUUAACCUAACCCAAGAGCAUUUCAAGAAAGAUUAAAAGAAAAAGAAGGAACUCGGCAAAUAUUAGCCUCGCCUGUUUACCAAAAACAUCGCCUCUUGCCCCCCCCCCUAAGAGGUCCAGCCUGCCCAGUGACUCUGUUCAACGGCCGCGGUAUCCUAACCGUGCAAAGGUAGCGUAAUCACUUGUCUUCUAAAUGGAGACUAGUAUGAAAGGCACCACGAAGACUAUACUGUCUCCUUUCUCUAAUCAGUGAACCUAAUCUCCCCGUGAAGAAACGGGGAUUCUACUAUAAGACGAGAAGACCCUAUGGAGCUUUAAACAUCAUAAACACCUGCCACCACUUACAACUACCCAGGUAAUUACCCCCAUAGCACACUGUUUAUAAGUUUUUGGUUGGGGCGACCGCGGAGAACAACCCAUCCUCCACAAUGAAAGGGGAUACCCCUAAACAAUAAGUUACAACUUUAUGUAUCAACAAAUUGACAUCCAUUGACCCAACAAAUUGAUCAACGAACCAAGUUACCCUAGGGAUAACAGCGCAAUCCACUUUGAGAGCCCCUAUCGACAAGUGGGCUUACGACCUCGAUGUUGGAUCGGGAUAUCCAAGUGGCGCA